rnacentral:rRNA from 1 species
UACGAAGGGAGCUAGCGUUGUUCGGAAUCACUGGGCGUAAAGCGCACGUAGGCGGAUGUGUCAGUCAGGGGUGAAAUCCCGGAGCUCAACUUCGGAACUGCCUUUGAUACAGCACAUCUGGAGUCCGGAAGAGGUGGGUGGAAUUCCUAGUGUAGAGGUGAAAUUCGUAGAUAUUAGGAAGAACACCGGUGGCGAAGGCGGCCCACUGGAUCGGUACUGACGCUGAGGUGCGAAAGCGUGGGGAGCGAACAGG